CGUUCGGACGACCACAGCGGCUGGAUAGCUGAGCCAGCAGUAGCUGUCAGACGUCACCGCUGGAAGCCAGCCGCUGAGAGAUUUACUAAGCUUUCCCUAUCACGGCUGGAUGCAACCACUCAGCCGAUUUCUGCUGCCAGCCAGCCGCUAUGGUCGUCCGAACGCACCCACUGUUUACAUUGGACAUUGACAUUUAUUUGUAGAUGUUGUUAGACGAAUAUUCUGUUUGGUUUUGUUUUUUAUUGUUAAUUGUGCAGCGAAAUUGUGAUAGUAAAUUAAAUAUAAAGUUGUUUAUAGCCUACAGAACUGAAUUAUCCCAUAGUAAUUAUCAGUUUGUGUCAAUUUGUUUGUGUGCAAAAAAGAAAAAACACCUUUCCUUGUGUUUGACCGACUUGUAGCAAGGGCUUUCUUGAGAAGCCUGUAAAUUGCGGGAAUAGGACAGACAGGGAUAAAAUCCUCACUUUUUACUGUUCCCAAGGCUAUACAUUUCCCCCAUGCAAUACAUUUAAAUGAAUUUUAUCCAAACAAAGGCAGGAACAUUGGAUAAAAGCAAUAAAGAGAACAGACCACAAAUUAAAAUAUGAGAGUAUGUAGUAAACAUUUUAUAAGUGGAAUAAACACCAGCUAUUUUAAAUGUAGGAAAAGGAGAAACUGCUGGAAUCUAAUUUUACACAAAUGUUUUUGACUAUUGAAGAUUUGGAUAAACAACAGAAGUUACUUUGGGCUAUAGCUAUGUGCAGAUUUAUUUCCUUGUGGAUUACUAUGUUUAUUCUUUUUAACUAUACUUCCUAUAUUGUUUGUGAGAUUAAUAUUAUUAUUUAAUUGAUUAUAUUAAUAUUUUGUAAUAAUAAUCAAUGCUUUGGUUUAACAAAUAGACAACUUAGAAUAGAAAAA